UCCGCCUCAAAAAAAAAAAAAAAGAGAGAAACACUUAUUUCGUUUGGAAAGAGAUUGAGGACUGGAGAAGAGGUGUACUUAAAUUUGACUUACUUCAUUUGUCCAACAUUUAUUGUACUGGACUCUACAAAUACGAAUAUUAAAGGAGACUGCUAUAAAGUUCACAGUUUAUCAUCCUAAGUACGUGUUAUACACGCUAUUUGCUAUAUUUUGCUUUCUCUGAGAACCUACUAUUCCGCAAGGUGUGAAACGUUUAAGAAGUACAUAUAGCAGUUAGGUCAAGAAUCCUGACCACUAUAGGAGGCCAGAGUGAGAGUAAGAAUGAGUAAAUGUAUAUCCAAAACAAUGAGUGGAAAUAAAUUACGGCCUCCACGGUAAUUUGUUUUUGGUUAAGCAAUAUAAAUUCAGCCAAGUGUAAAGCAGAAAAAGCACUUGGGAAGGAAUAUCUCCACAAUGUGGACUUUGCCCAAAAAAAAAAAAAAAAAAAUCUGGACUCCCAACAGUGGCUACAAGAGAAUCACUAUGAUUCUAUUAAAGCAUAUUAAGUUUAGAGCCACAAAUUUAGCAAUUUGAAAAACAGCUCCACACAAGGCAGGAAAAGGGCAGCAGCAGAAUUCAACGUUCAAAUUAAGGUCAGAUUAAAUUUUGCCUAGUUAGGCUAGCAUUUCUAUGGUUAUAUGGACCAUCGUUAUUCAUUCCCUUUCAACAUCUAUGCAAAACUGACUAAUCAACUGUGUUAUCAGCAGUUUGCUAAAUCAAUAAACGUACCUACUACCCACCCAGAUAGACACUGGAGGGACUUUUUGUUUUGAGAAGGGUCAUUUCACAACUUUCAAGUUCUCUUUCCUUUUCUUAUUGAAUAUUUGGGGUCAAAAUAAAAUCAUUUGCUUUACUUUGUCCUCUUGACCACAGCGAAGCGUCGAAAAGAAGACAGGAGAGUGCCUAACUGCACUGGCAUCCCCCAGCUGUCUCCGGGAAUCGCGGCAGCCCCGCCCCGCCCGCCUGCACCUGCCGGGAGCCCCGCCCCCUCCGCGCGGGCUGGCGGGACGCGCGCCCUCGGCCCCGCCCCACUCCCUCCGCCCCUCUCACUGCGGGGGCGCGCCAUUUCGCGCCUCCGGGCCGCUCGGCUGCCCCAGGGGCGCCUGGCAAACGUGGAGUCGCUCGGUUUUGGAGGCAUGCUUUCCAAACUUUCUAAUUCACAGGGUCUUUGCACGCAGCCCCUGCCCCACAACACCUUGGCAGUCUCUGAGACUUCUGGGGCUCUUCUCCCGGGCAGCUCCCGUGCCUGUCCGGUCCCGGAGUUGAAUAGUUUUUGAAGUAAUGAGACGGGAACGAGACUUGGGACGAACUGGAGAAAAACAUAACCGCGAAAGGAGGAGGCGGCUAUCACUUACUGGCUGUGUCAGAAGUCGCCGGGAACGCGUUGCUCCCGAGGCCGAAGGGCCCAGAGAGCUCCAGCCAGGCAGCGGGUUCGUCUCCGGCGCAAGAAGGCUGCUUUAUCCAUAAGAAUCAAAAAUUAGAGACAACCCAAA
rnacentral:lncRNA from 10 species